GACGAACGCUGGCGGCGUGCUUAACACAUGCAAGUCGAGCGGAGCGGCGAACGGGGGGGCAAAGCGUGAGUAAUUGCCACCCUCUCUGGGAAAACAGACGGAAACGGGUGCUAAUAUAGGAUAGCGGGGGAUGGCUCGGGGCAUAUCAGCUUGUCGGUGGGGUGGUGGCACACCAAGGCGACGCCGGGUCGCCGGACUGAGAGGGCGGCCGGCCACAUGGGGCAGGGGUACGACCCAAUGUGCUACGGUAGGCAGCCGUGGGGACUCUUCCACAACGGGGGAAGCCCUGUUGCAGCAGCGCCGGGUGCUGGAUGACUGUCUUCGGGUUGUAAACCGCUUUCAGCCAAGACGCGGUAGUGGCAGAAGAAGCACCGGCUAACUACGUGCCAGCCGCCGCGGUAAUUC
rnacentral:rRNA from 1 species